ACGCUAGCUACAGGCUUAACACAUGCAAGUCGAGGGGAAACGACAUCGAAAGCUUGCUUUUGAUGGGCGUCGACCGCCGCACGGGUGAGUAACGCGUAUCCAACCUGCCCACCACUUGGGGAUAACCUUGCGAAAGUAAGACUAAUACCCAAUGACGUCUCUAGAAGACAUCUGAAAGAGAUUAAAGAUUUAUCGGUGAUGGAUGGGGAUGCGUCUGAUUAGCUUGUUGGCGGGGUAACGGCCCACCAAGGCGACGAUCAGUAGGGGUUCUGAGAGGAAGGUCCCCCACAUUGGAACUGAGACACGGUCCAAACUCCUACGGGAGGCAGCAGUGAGGAAUAUUGGUCAAUGGACGAGAGUCUGAACCAGCCAAGUAGCGUGCAGGAUGACGGCCCUAUGGGUUGUAAACUGCUUUUAUAAGGGAAUAAAGUGAGUCUCGUGAGACUUUUUGCAUGUACCUUAUGAAUAAGGACCGGCUAAUUCCGUGCCAGCAGCCGCGGUAAUACGGAAGGUCCGGGCGUUAUCCGGAUUUAUUGGGUUUAAAGGGAGCGUAGGCCGGAGAUUAAGCGUGUUGUGAAAUGUAGACGCUCAACGUCUGCACUGCAGCGCGAACUGGUUUCCUUGAGUACGCACAAAGUGGGCGGAAUUCGUGGUGUAGCGGUGAAAUGCUUAGAUAUCACGAAGAACUCCGAUUGCGAAGGCAGCUCACUGGAGCGCAACUGACGCUGAAGCUCGAAAGUGCGGGUAUCGAACAGGAUUAGAUACCCUGGUAGUCCGCACGGUAAACGAUGGAUGCCCGCUGUUGGUCUGAAUAGGUCAGCGGCCAAGCGAAAGCAUUAAGCAUCCCACCUGGGGAGUACGCCGGCAACGG
rnacentral:rRNA from 1 species